rnacentral:lncRNA from 1 species
GAGCAAUCAAAAAAUAUAAAUGUUAAAUACUAAUAUGUAAAACGUUAGCCGAAGUAACCGCGCAUAUAUGUAUAUAAAAAAUGUAAAAAAACUUUGAACUGAAAAGGAAGCGUUAACACUAUUGAUGCGAUGAGGGCUGCUAGACACGAGCAAAUAAUGUAGGCUAUUGGUCGCUUCUCUGAAUUGGACAGAGAUGGAGUCAUAUACUAACUCCAAACGCGCUCCCGAGUGUACAUGUGACAAACAAAGAAGAAAUAGAAUUAGCGACUGAAUUUUAGGUUCAUCAAAGACAUGUAAAAUAAGUAUUAUGUAGUUGUAGGCAUACUGUAAAUAUACUCAAAAAAAAAAAAACAACCACAACAACAUAAUACUAUUCUCGCAAUUCCUUGACGACAUUUAAGUAAUUAGUAUACCAAAGACUUUAAUCAAUCUAGAGAGAAACAUCACAAGAAGAGUCGAGGGAGGAGGUGAACACUUAUAUUAUUUUAUGAUCUUGGUAUACAAUUAAAGGAAGAGCCACUGGAAAGCUAAUCAAUCAAAUUAUUUUGGAUAGUAAAGUACUUACCUUAACUAUAAAGUCGUAAAAUAAGGACUGAUAGAAAUCAUCUUUAACUGAUCACUAAAAAUCAAUCCACAAUACUACUAGAUUAAAACUAGUCACUCGAGAACUCUUUGGAUUAGUUCUUGUAGAAUAAUAAAAUCAUCCCCUCCAAAUGGAGGAUAUGUAUAAACCAAAAUUUUCACAUAUCUUGAAUCAAGGAUUACGUUUCGGUUAACUAUGUAAAAUGACUAGACAUUUAUCCAUACUCUUAUAUUUUCCAGAUCUUCAAACAGGGAGGGGGAUGGAAGAUUAGGAAGAGCUGAUCUUGAGAGUAGGGAGGGGGAUGGACGAUUAGGAAGAACUGAUCUUAAGAGUUUGAAAUGGCUCAUUCAGACUUAGAAAAUGAUUAUUUAGGCAGAGUUUUGACAAAAAAAUAAUAAUCUGAAACAUACUAUGGAGUUGACGUCAAAGAUAUAAAAUUAAGUGUGGUAAAGAGCUGGAAAAAUACUAGGUAUAGUUUCAACCAAGUUAUAGUCCUAAAAAAAAUUAUACGUAAAAAUAGAACUUGAGAGGAAUUACAGACAUUCAAAACAUUACGAGUAACGACCUGAUUAAUAAUACUAUGAAGGAAAGGUAGAAAUAUUCACAAAAGGUGUCAAAGUUUAAGGAAAACACUACAUAAAGCAUUUAUUUAACUAAGAGAAAACACUAUAAACUCAAAACUAAUCAAGGCAUUCUGUAACUUGAAGCGAAUAAAGAUUAACCACUAUAUUAAUUAUUUAAAGCUAGCAAGCUGUAAAAGAGGAAAGGCUAAGGCAUUGAUUAACAAGAUCAGGGGACAAAAUAAAUACUAACUUACACAAAUAUGUGUAUCCUAUUGAACCAAUGAUGGUCUUAUCCUAAUUUUAAGAGGUAAUAAACAGAGAAAAGAGAAGUAACAAAACUUAAAUUGGACAAUUUAUUAAACCAUUUUUCAAAUCGAUUUCAAUAAAACAAUUUGAUAUGGAUCCCGAGGACACGAACAACUAACAAACUGAUUCGAACAUCCAAGAACACUGAUGACUAUCGCAUAUCUAAUAGAUUCAUAACAAGCAAAACCAUACUAAGACCGAGUAAAACCAAUUCAAAACUACUUAUGAUAAAGCUAGGAAGACCAAGCAAACAGGAACAUUAGCAAGCUAUGAUCAUAACCACAAUACGUAACUGCGCCUAACUAAUGUUCACAUGUUAAAAAAGAUAUUAGAAUUACAGGGGAGCCUAGCAUAAACAGGGAACUUCAAAGAAAUUUAAAUCAAUAAAUUACAAC